GACGUAGGUUGCGAGCGUUGUUCGGAAUUAUUGGGCGUAAAGCGUGCGUAGGCGGCUACUUAAGUCUGGUGUUAAAGCUAGGGGCUCAACCCCUGUGUUGCACUGGAAACUGGGUAGCUUGAGUGCGGUAGGGGAAGGUGGAAUUCCGAGUGUAGCGGUGAAAUGCGUAGAUAUUCGGAAGAACACCGGUGGCGAAGGCGACCUUCUGGGCCGCCACUGACGCUGAGGCACGAAAGCGUGGGGAGCAAACGGG
rnacentral:rRNA from 1 species